rnacentral:rRNA from 1 species
AGAGAGCGGCGUACGGGUGCGGAACACGUGUGCAACCUGCCUUUAUCAGGGGGAUAGCCUUUCGAAAGGAAGAUUAAUACCCCAUAAUAUAUUGAUUGGCAUCAUUUAAUAUUGAAAACUCCGGUGGAUAGAGAUGGGCACGCGCAAGAUUAGAUAGUUGGUGAGGUAACGGCUCACCAAGUCAGUGAUCUUUAGGGGGCCUGAGAGGGUGAUCCCCCACACUGGUACUGAGACACGGACCAGACUCCUACGGGAGGCAGCAGUGAGGAAUAUUGGACAAUGGGUGAGAGCCUGAUCCAGCCAUCCCGCGUGAAGGACGACGGUUCUAUGGAUUGUAAACUUCUUUUAUACUGGGAUAAACCUACCCUCGUGAGGGUAGCUGAAGGUACAGUAUGAAUAAGCACCGGCUAACUCCGUGCCAGCAGCCGCGGUAAUACGGAGGGUGCAAGCGUUAUCCGGAUUUAUUGGGUUUAAAGGGUCCGUAGGCGGAUCUGUAAGUCAGUGGUGAAAUCUCAUAGCUUAACUAUGAAACUGCCAUUGAUACUGCAGGUCUUGAGUAAAGUAGAAGUGGCUGGAAUAAGUAGUGUAGCGGUGAAAUGCAUAGAUAUUACUUAGAACACCAAUUGCGAAGGCAGGUCACUAUGUUUUAACUGACGCUGAUGGACGAAAGCGUGGGGAGCGAACAGGAUUAGAUACCCUGGUAGUCCACGCCGUAAACGAUGCUAACUCGUUUUUGGGUUUUCGGAUUCAGAGACUA